rnacentral:rRNA from 1 species
UACAGAGGGGGCAAGCGUUGUUCGGAAUUACUGGGCGUAAAGGGCGCGUAGGCGGCCUGUUAAGUCGAACGUGAAAUCCCCGGGCUCAACCCGGGAACUGCGUCCGAUACUGGCAGGCUUGAAUCCGGGAGAGGGAUGCGGAAUUCCACGUGUAGCAGUGAAAUGCGUAGAGAUGUGGAGGAAUACCGAUGGCGAAGGCAGCCCCCUGGGCCAAUACUGACGCUCAUGCACGAAAGCGUGGGGAGCAAACAGG